rnacentral:tRNA from 1 species
GGGCGCGUAACUCAGCUGGUCAGAGUGCUAUCUUGACAUGGUAGAAGUCGGCGGUUCGAGUCCGUCCGCGCCCA